GGAGACGUCGCAUAGUUCGGCUUAGUGCACCACCCUGCUAAGGUGGAGUACCCGCAAGGGUACCGAGGGUUCAAAUCCCUCCGUCUCCGC
rnacentral:tRNA from 1 species